rnacentral:sRNA from 1 species
CAAUGCUGAUGUCUCCAAAGCGGGGCUAUCGUCUGCGACUCCGCCAAGCGGCAAUCUGAGGCGCGCCUUCAUGGGGCCGGGAUAUGAUGUGCAACCAACAUGGGGAGUGGCUGAACAGUUUGUUUAGCUUCGAACUAAGCGUUAGUUCCGGAACAAUCUCUGACGGGGGAGAUCAAGUAUGGCCAAGUUGGUGCGGGACGAGAUCCUCGAGGUCUUGAAAAUCGCUAGUAAUUAUAUGAUGAGCGUUUCGUUAAGGGAGUCGAAUGUGUGAAAGCAUGCCCUUGGGCUUUUCAGCGUUGUUGGUUUUCACAGUCUCCAGCUCACUGAGGUAUUUGCCUUCGGUAAUAUUUCAAAAUCCCAUGCGAGUCCAGAGGUAUAUCUUCCCAUGCAGGCUUGGGCACUGGCGUGGAAACUUCCUGAUCAGGAUGCAGCCUCAAGAAACGAAACCUCAACUGUACAGAAACAACAGACUCGGCAAAGACCCAUCGC